rnacentral:rRNA from 1 species
GUGGGCAACCUGCCCUAAAGUGAGGAAUACCGGCGAGAAAUCGCCGACAAUACCGCAUACGCUCUGCAAAGAGCAAAGCUCGCAAGGGCGCUUUAGGAUGGGCCUGCGUCUGAUUAGCUAGUUGGUGAGGUCAUAGCUUACCAAGGCGACGAUCAGUAGCUGGUCUGAGAGGACGAUCAGCCACACUGGGAUUGAGAACGGCCCAG